AGAAUCAACGCUGGCGGCGUGCCUAACACAUGCAAGUCGAACGAGAAAGGGGAGCAAUCCCUGAGUAAAGUGGCGACCGGGUGAGUAACACGUGACUAACCUACCCUCGAGUGUGGAAUAACAUCGGGAAACCGAUGCUAAUACCGCAUAACAUCGGCGCUUUUAAGAGAUGCCGAUCAAAGGAGCAAUCCGCUUGAGGAGGGGGUCGCGGCUGAUUAGCUAGUUGGCGGGGUAAUGGCCCACCAAGACGAUGAUCGGUA
rnacentral:rRNA from 1 species